UGUGAACUGCAGGACACAUGAACACCGACAAGUUGAACGCAUAUUGCACAUCGUACAUCAGUACGAUGUACACAUUUUUGAGUGCCUAUAUUUAUCCAUUCAACUAUACGUGUGCGUGCGCGUUUCACUUCGGGUGGACGGGCGCACGGGCCUCUCGGCAGCGUAGUAUAGUAUCGCUCUAUAUCUAUAUCUGCCGGGCACGUAUGCGUAGUGAUGUUUUCCUAGCGCCCGAGCGCGCCGGUAAAACAUUGAAGAUAGUCAGGGCGCGUCUGACCGCUUCCCACGGUUGGCGCGAGUUGAUGAAUACAUCCCAUCAUCCCAUAUCAUGGUGUUGCCAUUGUAUUCCAUCACAACAGCCCACAUAUAACACUCCAGUAGGCCUCAAAUAAUGUGUGACUACCCCCUAAAUUUAAGCAUGGUACCCGCA
rnacentral:rRNA from 1 species